GAUGAACGCUGGCGGCGUGCCUAAUACAUGCAAGUCGAGCGAACAGACGAGGAGCUUGCUCCUCUGACGUUAGCGGCGGACGGGUGAGUAACACGUGGAUAACCUACCUAUAAGACUGGGAUAACUUCGGGAAACCGGAGCUAAUACCGGAUAAUAUAUUGAACCGCAUGGUUCAAUAGUGAAAGACGGUUUUGCUGUCACUUAUAGAUGGAUCCGCGCCGCAUUAGCUAGUUGGUAAGGUAACGGCUUACCAAGGCGACGAUGCGUAGCCGACCUGAGAGGGUGAUCGGCCACACUGGAACUGAGACACGGUCCAGACUCCUACGGGAGGCAGCAGUAGGGAAUCUUCCGCAAUGGGCGAAAGCCUGACGGAGCAACGGCGCGUGAGUGAUGAAGGUCUUCGGAUCGUAAAACUCUGUUAUUAGGGAAGAACAAAUGUGUAAGUAACGAUGCACGUCUUGACGGUACCUAAUCAGAAAGCCACGGCUAACUACGU
rnacentral:rRNA from 1 species